GACACAGCCACAGGAAGUACGCAAUGUCACACGUUCAAGUCAACAAUACGCAUCAAAUGUGCCGUGUAAAUCUGUUGAGACAAAACAAACACAGCACACAAAAGGGUUGCAACAAAUAAAACCAAAUGUACAAACAAGCUGGAUGUCGCAUAACAACUUUUUGCUGUAGAACAUGUUUCUUUAUCUAAAGAUUAUCCAGCACACAAGCAUCAGGCAUUCAUUGGGUUGAACGAUCCAAAAGUCGAUUAUUACAGGCCAGAGGCAUUGGACAUGGACUUGUUGGGCUACUUCCGCCCUUUGUCUUCCGCGUAUCGAGCAAGCGACCUGCAAAUGUAACUGUAAGGAAUCCAAAUAUUUGAAAAUAAAUAAGUUAGCAUAUUAAAGAAGUGGACUCGACCACUACGAAAAUAUGUAAAUGGAUACAAAGUCAUAUAAAAAGGCCAAAGUCGCGCAAAAUCGAAGUUCACCUCGCUGCGUCAUGCGGCCGCAGCCCCAAAGAAGAAACCAAGCCGAAAACCCAACCAAAAAAAAAUGAGUAAAAAAAAUAAACAUUUAAAAAUCGAAAAACC